GCUUCCGGAGCUAACGCGUUAAAUCGACCGCCUGGGGAGUACGGCCGCAAGGUUAAAACUCAAAUGAAUUGACGGGGGCCCGCACAAGCGGUGGAGCAUGUGGUUUAAUUCGAUGCAACGCGAAGAACCUUACCUGGUCUUGACAUCCACAGAACUUUCCAGAGAUGGAUUGGUGCCUUCGGGAACUGUGAGACAGGUGCUGCAUGGCUGUCGUCAGCUCGUGUUGUGAAAUGUUGGGUUAAGUCCCGCAACGAGCGCAACCCUUAUCCUUUGUUGCCAGCGGUUAGGCCGGGAACUCAAAGGAGACUGCCAGUGAUAAACUGGAGGAAGGUGGGGAUGACGUCAAGUCAUCAUGGCCCUUACGAUUGGGCUACAGGGGGGCUACAAUGGCGCCCACCCCCAUGGACGAC
rnacentral:rRNA from 1 species